GCGUCGGUAGUCUAGUGGUAUGAUUCUGGCUUGCCAAGCCAGUGGCCCGGGUUCAAUUCCCGGCCGACGCA
rnacentral:tRNA from 1 species